GGGGAGGUGGCAGAGUGGUCGAAUGCGAGCGCCUGCUAAGCGCUUGAGCGGGUGUUUCCGCUCCCCGGGUUCGAAUCCCGGCCUUCCCG
rnacentral:tRNA from 3 species